rnacentral:rRNA from 1 species
UACGUAGGGUGCAAGCGUUAAUCGGAAUUACUGGGCGUAAAGCGUGCGCAGGCGGUUUUGUAAGUCUGUCGUGAAAUCCCCGGGCUCAACCUGGGAAUUGCGAUGGAGACUGCAAGGCUGGAGUCUGGCAGAGGGGGGGUAGAAUUCCACGUGUAGCAGUGAAAUGCGUAGAGAUGUGGAGGAACACCGAUGGCGAAGGCAGGUCUCUGGGCUGACACUGACGCUCAUGCACGAAAGCGUGGGGAGCAAACAGG